rnacentral:rRNA from 1 species
AGAGUUUGAUCAUGGCUCAGAACGUACGCUGGCGGCACGCCUAACACAUGCAAGUCGAACGAAGUAGCAAUACUUAGUGGCAGACGGGUGAGUAACAUGUAGGUAUCUGCCCUUUGGCCUGGAAUAACACGAGGAAACUUGUGCUAAUACCGGAUAAGUCUUUACGGAGAAAGCUUUAUGCACCAUUGGAUGAGCCUGCACUAGAUUAGUUUGUUGGUGGGGUAAUGGCCUACCAAGACUGUGAUCUAUAGCUGAUUUGAGAGGAUGAUCAGCCACAUUGGGACUGAGACACGGCCCAAACUCCUACGGGAGGCAGCAGUGGGGAAUCUUGCACAAUGGAGGAAACUCUGAUGCAGCGAUGCCGCGUGAGUGAAGAAGGCCCUUGGGUUGUAAAGCUCUUUCGUCGGGGAAGAAAAUGACU